rnacentral:rRNA from 1 species
GUCGAACGCAUCACUUCGGUGAUGAGUGGCGAACGUGUGAGUAAAAGAUAAGGAACCUGCCCUAGGCAGGGGGAUAACGACCGGAAACGGACGCUAAAACCGCAUAGGCUGGGAAUUCGCAUGAGGAUCCAGUUAAAUAUCCUUUAGGGGAUAGGCAAAGGAGGGACUUAUCACGCAUUAGCUAGUUGGUGGGGUAACGGCCUACCAAGGCGACGAUGCGUAGCCGGCCUGAGAGGGCGGACGGCCACACUGGGACUGAGACACGGCCCAGACUCCUACGGGAGGCAGCAGUAGGGAAUUUUCGGCAAUGGGCGAAAGCCUGACCGAGCAACGCCGCGUGAACGAAGAAGGUCUUCCGAUUGUAAAGUUCUGUUAUCCCCCCCCCCAAAAGUGUACGAAGGAAAUGGCGAACAAAAAAAAAAACUCUUUUUGGAAGCCACGGCGGGGGAAAAAAAACAGCCGCGGUAAUACGUAGGUGGCGAGCGUUAUCCGGAAUCAUUGGGCGUAAAGAGGGAGCAGGCGGCCUGGAGGGUCUAUUGUUAAAAGGCAAUGGCUUAACCAUUGUAACCCCAAGAAACCGGCAGGCUAGAGUUCUAAAGAGGAUCGUGGAAUUCCAUGUGUAGCGGUGAA